rnacentral:misc_RNA from 1 species
GAUGAAGAACGUAGCGAAAUGCGAUAAGUAAUGUGAAUUGCAGAAUUCAGUGAAUCAUCGAAUCUUUGAACGCACAUUGCGCCCGCCAGUAUUCUGGCGGGCAUGCCUGUUCGAGCGUCAUUUCAACCAUCAAGCCCCAGGCUUGUGUUGGGGACCUGCGGCUGCCGCAGGCCCUGAAAACCAGUGGCGGGCUCGCUGUCACACCGGGCGUAGUAGAUUUUAUCUCGCUCAGGGCGUGCUGCGGGUUCCGGCCGUUAAAAAGCCUUUUUUACCCAAGGUUGACCUCGGAUCAGGUAGGAAGACCCGCUGAACUUAAGCAUAUCAUAAGCGAGGA